rnacentral:misc_RNA from 1 species
CGCCAACCAGGUCGUUGCACGCAGGCCGGCUCACGAGCGUCCUUGGCUCGCACCACCGCAGGGUUCACCGGCUUCGCUUUCUCGCAGCCGCCCAUAUACACAGUUCCACGCACACGCGCACACACACGCAGACACACAGGCACACACAUCCCCUCUAAUUUCUCUCUGCUCAACGACAAGAAAGGACAGUGCGGGGCUAGCUGGAAUUCAGAUGCCGCCAAAGAAACGUUCCUCGCGGCGUCUCACGCUGAACGCUGGUGAAGAAUACACCCUCAUAGGGGAUGGCGCCGUUCAAAUAGCACUCCAGUCCGGUCUGCUGGAUGUAGCCGGGGUGAUGCUGGACGCAAACCGCCCCUAUACCUUUUACCUACACACGGAUCGACAAGCGAUCACGCUCUUCACGCUGGAGGGGGCGGCGUGUAUGCUGUCGAGUGACAACAGAGUGGACACCCACCGAGGUGUGGCACGGGCGGGAAAGCUGGUGCAGAUGACGCGGCGCACUAUUCUCUCGGCGAAGCGCACAAAGGUGCUUGUCAUUGGUCGCCCCCGCAGUGGCAAGACGCUCGCGGCACAUACUCUGUGUAACCUGCUCAUGCGCUACGGCAAUGACAAGAAGAGCGUGUUCUUGAUGGACUUGAACGCGGAGUCGAACUGCCUAUUCGCCCCAGGGUGCGUGUCUUGCAUCCAGGUCUCCGAGUCACCCCUUUGGCCGGGGCUGACGGCAAGCCCGAAGCUUCUGCCGCUUUCCCUCUACACCGGUGCCGCCGUUCGCCCGUCUGCGAGCAACGUGAACUCGCUUCUGCACUACUACGACCAGUUGCAUGAAACAGUCAUGGGCUAUAUUCAGGAGCUAAGUGGGGCAGCGGCUGUCGCCGCCCAGCAGCAGUCGCCGUCGCCGUAUGCGCCGUCCCUUAGCGAGACUCAUUCGCACGUCGUCGUCGACGCCCCUGCGCCGCUGGCAGACCUGCAGGAGGGUGUUUGGUACAAGAAGCUCAUCGAGGUACUCCGCCCGUCGCACGUGGUGAUAGUCAGCAGCCGCGAGGACGGCGAGGAGAGGUGGUCUACCUUUCUGCAGGAGGAUGUGCAGCGGGUGCUGCCAGAUUGUGAGUUUCUCUUCACCGACCCGGUCGCCCAUCCGUGUGAGCGCUCGUCGAGUCGUGAGUUGUUGAGGGAGUACUUCACCGGCACCCCGUUCUAUUCCCUGGGUUGCUCUAAAGUGGUGGUGCCGCUUAAAUCACUGACGUUUGUGGAGGAGGCGAGCGAGGGCUUGGCGCCUGGCAGCGCUGACGGCGUCCUUAUGCGUGUCGUGCACCCCGACGCGUCGUUCCAAGCUCUUGUGUGUGCUCUUUCCCACGCGGAGCUUCUCGAGGAGGCGCCGUUGGCCCCAAUCGCUGGCCUGGUGACGAUCGUGUACGUCGAUGAGAAGAACGAGGAGGUGGCGAUGCUAAUCCCGGCCGCAGAGGAGCCGCUUCUGCGACGCCUGAUCAUUGUGCCGCAGUCUCGCUACCGAGACACGCUGCGAAUGUCGAGUGCGCAAGUGGCGACAAUGGAGGAGUACGUGGCGGUCUAAGGUGAAGCUGCUGCUGCUGCUGCUGGCAGUGGUGGGGGCGGGGCGGAGACUGAUUGAGUGGCACGAGCGCUUUUGCCUGCAGCGAACUUCGCCUGUGUCUGUAGCUGUCCGCGUCGCUUUGCGAGUAUGUAUGCGUGCGCGUGUGGGCGGAGACGCCAGAUGGAAGUGCGCCUCCUCCUGCGCCACGGCGGUGUGUUCUGGCCAACGCUUUUCUUCCCUUCGGCGCGACACAGUUGAUGCCUGUGGGUGAGAGAUAGCAGAGCAGGGGAGGAACAGAGAGAAAAAGAAAACACGACGUGCAGAGGUGUACUUAGGAGAAACGACAACCCGCGCGCGCCUGGUGGGCGCGCCGCACCCCAGCCAUUCUUCCCCCCUCCGCUGCUCUUCCGUGGCCUCAACGUGAGCCGAGUGCGAGGACAUGCGCGGCAUUCCAGUCGCCGUUUAACACAAGGAGCAAAACAGCACAGCAAAAUAAGAGCACGUGCAGACAUAAAACGACGCAUACGCAAACACGCGUACAUGCCGGCAAAGUGAUACCAUGUGCAGCUUGGAGGUUGGCAGAGGAGGGCUCUUUGUGGCGUUGCCGACAACAGACG